UGAAACACCACUUUCCAUAUGAUCACCAAAGUUAAGCAAUGUUGAGCCUGGUCAGUAUUUAGAUGAGUGGCUGCUUGGGAAUACCAAGUGCUGUAA